UACGUAGGGUGCGAGCGUUAAUCGGAAUUACUGGGCGUAAAGCGUGCGCAGGCGGUUGUGUAAGACAGAUGUGAAAUCCCCGGGCUCAACCUGGGAACUGCAUUUGUGACUGCACGGCUCGAGUGCGGCAGAGGGGGAUGGAAUUCCGCGUGUAGCAGUGAAAUGCGUAGAUAUGUGGAGGAAUACCGAUGGCGAAGGCAGCCCCCUGGGAUAACACUGACGCUCAUGCACGAAAGCGUGGGGAGCAAACAGG
rnacentral:rRNA from 1 species